AGCUAAUAGGCUUUUGGUGAUAAUUUAGUAAACAGAUUAAUGAGCGAUAUAAUUUCAUAACAGAGGAAAUAUUUAUAAAAUUAAUAGAAACGUAUAAAAACGGAGAGUUUUAAAUUUACCUAAGGGGGGGGUCAUGUGACCAUUAGAGAAUCGAAUAUGUAUUCGUAUAAUUAUGGUUAAAUUUUGCAAGGUUUUAAUUGCUUGUUAACUUCGUAGUAGAUCAUAAAGAGGAGUAAUUUCGAAGAGAAAGCGGUGCUUAAUGGAAAUUCGGACUGCCGUAUUCGGAGAUUUUCAUCUAGAACUUAUGCCGAUACGUAAUGUUGAUCAUCUAAACUGGGAUUGGGUGUGAAAGUUAAUCAGGAAAUCGCGACUUUUAAGAUCGGUAAGUGGUGUUAAUUUAGAAUUCGAUGUACUUAAAUUUACAAGAAUUGAUGCUUUGUGAAAUAUUGUUUCAGAUAUUCAACUCGUGAAUUAGAUUGAUAUUAGAAACUAAUGGGAAACGACUAAAUAACAUUCAACGUUGUUGUUGGCUGGAAAAUCGACUGUAAUUAUUAUUAGGUAAGUUGGUUUGAUUAAUUUGUUUGAUUAAUUUGAAUUCAAUCGAAUUGAGCUAAUCGUGAAUAAUUUAAUAGGCUUCGAGUAGUUUGUGGUUAAUCUUCAAAAUACUACUGAGGAAUGGGAUCGAAGUAAUAGUAAUAUGUCUCGGUAGUUAUCAAAACAAUUGACUUGUUAAUUAAUCAGCUGUAAUUUUGUUUAGGGUGUACGAAUGGAUGAAUCGAACGACGAAUGAUAUGAUUAUGGAUGUUUUCGAAAGCUUAUCAGGAAGUUAAAUGCGAAUCAAGAUGAAACUUUAUCUUUCAGGUAAACGAAUAAGGAUAGAUGAUGAUCGCGAAAUUUGAAACUUCGAAGAAGCUAUUAACGUACGAGCUCAUCACAAUGGACGAUUUUAAUUUAAUUAGCAAAUCACGAAAGUUAACGAACGAAUUUGUAGUAAUGUUGGUGUAAGGACUAAAUAAACGAAGUCUUGCUCUUCUAUAAGCAUACGAGCGCAUCGCAUCGGAUGAUUUUAUUAAUGGCAAAUCAGGACGUAGAAUCGAACGAUUUAGUUAGAGAUCGCGAGCUAGGUAAAUUUGAGUAAUUUAGAAUGAGCUUUAGAAACCAUUUGCUAGUGAUUAUAGUGAUAUCGCGAACGUAACGUUAUUUAGAAUGAUCGUUGAUCUGAUCGAUAAUUUCGGUGUAGGGACUAAAUAAACGAUGUCUAAUGUUAUUUAAUCGUUUUAGGUUGAUGGUGGAUAAUUUAGUGGCAUUUAAACACGAUUAUCAUCGAUUGAGGAGUAAUAAGUAAUUUGAAGCCGAAAGAAUACGGUAAUUUAAUAAUCACGAUUUGAAAAAUUAGCUACUGAGUCGAAUGGUGAGUAAUAAGAUCGAUUUAACAUGGGAAAUUCUAAUGUUUAAACGAUGUCUAGUUUUAUUUAUUUGUAGGGACUAAAUAUACGAAGUCUAUCGUU